CCCACUUCCUGUUGUGACUUUUUUCAACGAUGUUGGCAGGUUACAAUGCGGUUUUUCAAACUUUAUUGGGUACACUCUUCACCUGGGGACUGACAGCAGCAGGGGCUGCUCUAAGUAUUUGUAUUUCACAGCAGUCAGAGAAAAGUUCUGGAUGCUAGUCUGGGAUUUGCAGCUGGGGUAAUGACAGCUGCCUCCUACUGGUCUCUACUUAAUCCAGCGAUAGAAAUGGCCGAGCACUCAGGGUUCUACGGAGAUAAAGGGCAGUGGGCGUUUGUCCCUGUUGCUAUUGGUUUUAUACUGGGGGCAGGAUUUGUCUAUGGAGCAGACAUCUUCAUGCCUUACUUAGGAGUUGAUGAUGCAUCAAGUCUUAUGAUGUCACUUGAUUCCAACAUGAAGGAAGAGAAAGAUGGAAAUAUACAAAUGGAAUCUGCAACCAAUAAUUUUUAUG